CACGUAGGGUGCGAGCGUUGUCCGGAAUUAUUGGGCGUAAAGAGCUCGUAGGCGGUGUGUCGCGUCGGCCGUGAAAACCUGCAGCUUAACUGUGGGCGUGCGGUCGAUACGGGCAUCACUGGAGUUCGGCAGGGGAGACUGGAAUUCCUGGUGUAGCGGUGAAAUGCGCAGAUAUCAGGAGGAACCCGGUGGCGAAGGCGGGUCUCUGGGCCGAUACUGACGCUGAGGAGCGAAAGCGUGGGGAGCGAACAGG
rnacentral:rRNA from 1 species